AAGUCGUAACAAGGUUUCCGUAGGUGAACCUGCGGAAGGAUCAUUAUUAAAACAUACUAGGAAAAAACCUAGCUAUGUCUACCCAUGUUUUUUACGCACCUAAAGUUUCCUCGGCGGCUUUGUCCGCCAGUUGGACAACAAUCGAACCCUUGUAGUUGCAGUCAGCGUCAAAUAAACUUAAUAAUUAAAACUUUCAACAACGGAUCUCUUGGUUCUGGCAUCGAUGAAGAACGCAGCGAAAUGCGAUACGUAGUGUGAAUUGCAGAAUUCAGUGAAUCAUCGAAUCUUUGAACGCACAUUGCACCUCUCGGUAUUCCGGGAGGUAUGCCUGUUCGAGCGUCAUUUGUACCCUCAAGCUCUGCUUGGUGUUGGGUGUUUGUUCCGCCUCUGUGUGUGAACUCGCCUUAAAACAAUUGGCAGCCGGCGUACUUGUUUCGGAGCGCAGCACAUUUUUGCGCUUUAGACCAAUGUACAGCGGCAUCCAAGAAGCCUUCUUUAACGCUCUUGACCUCGGAUCAGGUAGGGAUACCCGCUGAACUUAAGCAUAUCAAUAAGCGGAGGAAAAGAAACCAACAGGGAUUGCCUUAGUAACGGCGAGUGAAGCGGCAACAGCUCAAAUUUGAAAUCUGGCCUCUUUGGGGUCCGAGUUGUAAUUUGCAGAGGGCGCUUUGGAGUUGGCAGCGGUCCAAGUUCCUUGGAACAGGACGUCACAGAGGGUGAGAAUCCCGUACGUGGUCGCUAGCCUUCGCCGUGUAAAGCCCCUUCGACGAGUCGAGUUGUUUGGGAAUGCAGCUCUAAAUGGGAGGUAAAUUUCUUCUAAAGCUAAAUACUGGCCAGAGACCGAUAGCGCACAAGUAGAGUGAUCGAAAGAUGAAAAGCACUUUGGAAAGAGAGUCAAACAGCACGUGAAAUUGUUGAAAGGGAAGCGCUUGCAGCCAGACUUGCUUGUAGUUGCUCAUCCGGGCUUUUGCCCGGUGCACUCUUCUGCAGGCAGGCCAGCAUCAGUUUGGGCGGUUGGAUAAAGGUCUCUGUCACGUACCUCUCUUCGGGGAGGCCUUAUAGGGGAGACGACAUGCAACCAGCCUAGACUGAGGUCCGCGCAUUUGCUAGGAUGCUGGCGUAAUGGCUGUAAGCGGCC
rnacentral:rRNA from 1 species